GUGGGGAAUAUUGGACAAUGGGCGAAAGCCUGAUCCAGCAAUGCCGCGUGAGUGAUGAAGGCCUUAGGGUUGUAAAGCUCCUUUACCAGGGAUGAUAAUGACAGUACCUGGAGAAUAAGCUCCGGCUAACUCCGUGCCAGCAGCCGCGGUAAUACGGAGGGAGCUAGCGUUGUUCGGAAUUACUGGGCGUAAAGCGCACGUAGGCGGUUACUCAAGUCAGAGGUGAAAGCCCGGGGCUCAACCCCGGAACUGCCUUUGAAACUAGGUAACUAGAAUCUUGGAGAGGUCAGUGGAAUUCCGAGUGUAGAGGUGAAAUUCGUAGAUAUUCGGAAGAACACCAGUGGCGAAGGCGACUGACUGGACAAGUAUUGACGCUGAGGUGCGAAAGCGUGGGGAGCAAACAGGAUUAGAAACCCUGGUAGUCC
rnacentral:rRNA from 1 species